rnacentral:rRNA from 1 species
ACGAACGCUUGGCGGCGUGCUUAACACAUGCAAGUCGAACGGGCACUUAGGUGCAAGUGGCGGACGGGCGAGUAAUGCAUAGGUAACCCUGCCUUGAAGAGGGGGAUAACAAGCCGAAAGGUUUGCUAAUACCGCGUAAUAUUAAUGUUAGAGAGAACAUUAAAGAAAGGAGCAAUCCGUUUUUAAGAGGGGCCUAUGUCCGAUUAGCCAGUUGGUGGGGUAAGAGCUUACCAAGGCGACGAUCGGUAGCUGGUCUGAGAGAGACGAACAGCCACACUGGGACUGAGACACGGCCCAGCCUUCCUGCGGGAGGCAGCAGUGGGGAAUUUUUCCGCAAUGGGCGCAAAGCCUGACGGAGCGGACGCCGCGUGUAGGAAGAAGUCUUUCGGGAUGUAAAACUACUGUCAGUGGGGAAGAAAGGCAAUGACGGUACCCACAGAGGAAGCAUCGGCUAACUACGUGCCAGCAGCCGCGGUAAUACGUAGGAUGCGAGCGUUGUUCGGAAUUACUGGGCGUAAAGAGUACGUAGGCGGUAUCAUAAGUCUGGGAUAAAAAUCAGGAGCUUAACUUCUGAGUUGUUUUUGGAAAACUGCGAUACUAGAGGGCAAUAGAGGAAGUCGGAAUUCUCAGUGUAGCGGUGAAAUGCGUAGAUAUUGGGAAGGACACCAGUGGCGAAAGCGGACUUCUGGGUUGUUACUGACGCUGAGGUACGAAAGCGUGGGGAGCAAACGGGAUUAGAUACCCCGGUAGGUCCACGCGGUAAACGAUGGAUACUAGGUGUAGCAGGUAUCGACCCCUGCUGUUGCCGGGAGUUAACGCAUUAAGUAUCCCGCCUGGGGAGUAUGGCCGCAAGGUUGAAACUCAAAGGAAUUGACGGGGGGCCCGCACAAGCGGUGGAGGAUGUGGUUUAAUUCGACGCAACGCGAAGAACCUUACCAAGACUUGAAAUCUACCGAAAGUAAUAGAAAUAUUGCCUUGCCCGAAAGGGAGCGGUAAGACAGGUUGGUGCAUGGCUGUCGUCAGCCUCGUGUCGUGAGAUGUUGGGUUAAGUCCCGCAACGAGCGCAACCCUCGAUGUUAGUUACCAUCAUUAAGUUGGGGACUCUAACGUGACUGCCGGUGAUAAGCCGGAGGAAGGUGAGGACGACGUCAAGUCAUCAUGCCCCUUACGUUUUGGGCUACACACGUCCUACAAUGGUAUAGACAAAGGGCAGCAAGACUGCAAAGUCAAGCGAAUCCCAUAAAACUAUGCCUCAGUUCGGAUUGCAGGCUGCAACUCGGCCUGGCAUGAAGUCGGAAUCGCUAGUAACCGUAGAUCAGCAUGCUACGGUUGAAUACGUUCCCGGGCCUUGUACACACCGCCCGUCACACCACGAAAGUUUGUCAUACCCGAAAAACCGGUGAGCUAACCGCAAGGGAGCAUCCGUCUAAGGUAGGGGCCGAUGAUUGGGGUG